UGAAGAUGCGCGCGGCCGCCUGCCUUUUCAGUCUGUGCUUCCUUUAAAUCGGAAAAGGAAUUUAUGAAGGAUUAGGAAAAACUCACAGAUAAAAACAGUGGUUAAGAACUUUUAAGUGACGUGCUGAGUGACGCCAUCCAAAGCGACGGAUUCCGAAGCCAUGCCGCUAGUAGCUCGCAUUGCGGUGAAUACAAGAAGAAGAGGCAGGAGUGCAAACGAGUUUAGAAAGAAUCGCCGACACAGAGACACCUGCCAAUAAACAAAGAAGAAAAAGAGACAGACAGAGGGUAA